AAUCAUCGUCCUUUAAUCGUUAUCUCUCAGAGUGACCGUAGCUUGUACACAGUUUACACAGCUCGUGAACGCUGUAUUACGUGUUGUUAAGCUUUGUUUUAUUUCAGUUCACACGCUGAAAAGUUAGGAGGUGUGAAUCCUAUAGUCUCGCGGGUGCCGUAGCGGACAGUUGUCGUGUUUGUCAUCGGCGUGUUACGGAGAUAAACGCUUUCUGCCAAUAAAUCGUCGAAUAAUUGUUCAACAACGCAGUUUUUUUUAUACCAUCUGGAAUUCACCAAUAGUGUUGGUUUAGUUCUGGAUCUGGUUUGACGCGAUAGACCGUAUCAUAAGUAGAGGCUAUUUCAGAGGAGGUGAACAUAAAAUUUGAAGCUGAGUUCAGUAUACAGAAAUUGAACAGACACAUAUCAAGGUUAUUUCACUAAAAGCGGUCGCCAAUUUGUACAUUAAAGACAGUCAAUUACGCUCCAUACUAAAGGAAGAUUCCUAAUUGAGAAGGUCUAAGAGGAUACCACAAGAAAGAUGUUGCGAUUUUCUCGCUUUUUCCUCGCUGUCCUCAUGCUCGUUGUACUGAUGCAUAUCUCUCAGGGAGAAACGACAACAGAGUUACCCUUAUUGUUGGAGAAAAUAAAGCAAACCAUUAAAAUAGGACAGGCUAGAAUAUACAACACUGUGUUCGAUUUAAUAACACGCACGACUACAGAGAUGACUACUACGACGACGGAAGAAGAUGAUUUUGAACUGACUAACAGGCAAUUAAUUGUAGUACCCAACAGAUGCCCGUCUGGCUCUGAUUUCAUACGGGGAAGCUGUCGUACAAGAGUUUACUGAGGUGAAAAAUGAGCGGAAUAAAAUAUAGUAGAGUCGGGAUCUUGGAACGCCUUAUAUCAUGUGGUAAUAUAUUUGUACGAAUAUUCUGUUAAUUCUGUUCUUUUAUUUCAAUUAAAAUAAAAUAUAUCAGAUAAAUAACAGUCGAUGUACAAUUAUAUGCAUACUUUCGUCUCCAUUUUGAAAUAUCUUGUACUUACCAAAGAUCGAACAGCAUCACGUUCGAUUAUCUCAAGGGAGAUUGAAGAGGAGACCGGAUACUAAAUGCGGCAUAAUUAUCGAACACUUGUCUCACGCGAGUUUCAUGAAAUUUGACAAGAAUGUGCGAUGGCUUUACUUUGUUACUUUUUUACUUUAUGGUUACUUUAAGGUUAUGUAUCCAUUUCUGUCGGCCAUAUUGUAUACAGGGUGUCUAAUUGAAACGCCGAUGAUCCCUCGUGUGAAAAAAGAGAGAGAGAGAUGUACGUAAAAUGCGUUUGAUUUUUGGGAAACUACGGCUGAGUGUUUCUUGUUGAUUUUUUUGUUCUAUUACUACAAAAUGGAUCAUAAUUCAAUGAAAUAAUAUAAAGCAAAAAACAUUGUGCAUCUAUUAUUUCCUUAUAAAACGAAACUUUUGGCACAACCUAAUACUUAUUUGAGAUGUAAUUAAAUCAUUGGAAUUUCUCACCUGGAAGAAAUUUUUUUGAAAAAUUUUAUUGAAAAAUUAGAUAACUCUAAAAAAUUAUCAGGUGGAGACAUUUUUUGAAAUGUUUAUUCGAAGGAUCUAACAAUUUUUUAAAAUCCUUGCUCAAUAAAAUUUUCCAGAACGAUUACUCAGAGUUUUAAAAUAUAAACGCAGAUGUUCGUUGUGACGGAAGCAAGGAAGUUUCGCGAUUAAACGACAGGAAGGUUGCGAAUGUUGCAAACAGUCUGCCUCUCAGAUUCCUUUUCUUCUUCUCUUUGAACUUCUUCCGCUACUUUCAUUACUUUAAUUGAAUGUUAGGAAAUUAAUCCCUUGUCGAAAUCAAAGCUACAACUAUCACUCUGUUCAAUGAACCAAAACUUGCACAAAUUCCUCCGAAAAAAUCCAAAGAAAAUCAACUUCUCCCUUUAUAAUAUUCCACCGUUUGAAUGUCACAUUUAAUUAAAUCCAAUAACUAUAAUGAAAGAGUAACGUUCUCUCAGGCAAGUUUUAUUUUCUAACUGUACUUCGCAUUUUGUAUUUGUAUGCAACUUUGCACACUUACACCUGUCAUAAAUGCAUAAAUAGUCGUAAAGGUAUGAAACCCCAGGAAAAUAUCUACGUGUUACUAAUGCAAUUAAGCUAUAUAAAAUUGUCGAAUGUUUUCAAGACAGAUUACAAUUUCGAAAGGAGAUAUUAAAAAAAAAAAAAAAGAAAAAAAGGAAGAAAAAAGCUAAUUACUAGACUGUGCAUUUUGAUGGUUUGGGGAAAGUUUGAAAAUGCAGAAACACGCAGGGCGCGAAUAAUUAAGAAAAAUGUAGAAAAUAUCCAAGAAAGAAGGAAAAGUCCAAGAAGUAGAGUCUUCAUAUCGUCUUAAGCUGGGUCAAGUGUUCCCUUUCGAUGAUUCCUUGGGUCGAAAGCGAGGCAACAACUGAAGGACUCAUUGAUUUCAAAAUCCAUUUAUACGGGCGUGCAAUGCAGCGGCGUAGCGUCUCGGCGCA
rnacentral:lncRNA from 1 species